rnacentral:lncRNA from 1 species
GGGGAUAGCAUCCUCCUUGGGGGAUAAUCCCCACUUAUCCCUACCAAAGUAACCAAACGCAGCCUAUUACACUCUCAAGUUUAAGAGAAACCACCAAAUAGCUUCUGAUAAUAAAUCAGACCGACCGUCUGCUACUUUCAGUACUUCUUAACCCUCUAUUGCCCCACUAUUGUAUUGACGGUUGUUCAACCGUCGAUAAGAAGAUGCGGAUGUGAGGAUGAGGCCACGGUUGCUCGGCUUUCUGCACUUGGGAAUUAAGGAUUCACAAGCAAAGAAUCUUUGAUUCGACGAUCUCGAUAGUCCUCAGGUGCGCAAGAAGUAGGAGAGGGAUUAAUUAACAUAAAAACUUGUAAAGAAAUGGAAUUUAUCAUUGUACAUGUGUGCGCGCUGGCGCGCAGUUGUGUGUGUGUGUGAGAGAGAGAGAGAUUAUGUAGGUUAUCGUUCUCUUAAAGAUGGCUUAGAAACAAAAGCCAAGGGAAUGUUGUGCCUGGGAGCACAGAACGUGUCUCUCUCUCUCUCUCUCUCCUCUUAGCGCAUGUAUAUUCUGCAUAUCACAAGGAUGCAUGCACAUGCACGUACAUGCAUGGUGUGCAUGUCAAGCUCCUCGUUGAUCUUUUCAAGUCUG